rnacentral:rRNA from 1 species
CCUACGGAAGGCAGCAGUGGGGAAUAUUGCACAAUGGGGGAAACCCUGAUGCAGCGACGCCGCGUGAGUGAAGAAGUAUUUCGGUAUGUAAAGCUCUAUCAGCAGGAACGAGACAAGACGGUACCUGACUAAGAAGCCCCGGCUAACUACGUGCCAGCAGCCGCGGUAAUACGUAGGGGGCAAGCGUUAUCCGGAAUCACUGGGUGUAAAGGGAGCGUAGACGGCUGAGCAAGCCUGAAGUGAAAGGCGGGGGCCCAACCCCUGGACUGCUUUGGGAACUGUACGGCUGGAGUGCAGGAGAGGUAAGUGGAAUUCCUAGUGUAGCGGUGAAAUGCGUAGAUAUUAGGAGGAACACCAGUGGCGAAGGCGACUUACUGGACUGUAACUGACGUUGAGGCUCGAAAGCGUGGGGAGCAAACAGGAUUAGAUACCCGAGUAGUC